UUACAUUGCUAUAUAUGCAACUAUGGCAAGUGGAAAUGUGGUAAAAGCUUGCAUCUUUUCAAUAACCAUCUGUUUGUGAUUUUACAUUUCUGGGUGCCAUUGGAGUGUCAAAUACUGGAUAAAUUUAAGGUUCUUACUGGAAAAGAUAAAAGAUGCUACUGGAAGAAAAACAUUUUCAAGUUGGCACAAGGCGAAUGUGUAGCACCUGAGAAGAUUGAGAAUGUAUAUACCAAAUGCUGAUUUGUUUCCCAGUGUUUCAUAUAUGGUAAGAUUGUGUUGAUGUUUAUUAACGAUGUUCUACCUGUGAUUCAUGGACUGCUAAAUUUUUUAUCGGUGACAUCUUCAACUCCUGUUUAGUAGCUGUAGUUGCAGUAUACCCAGAUGUGUUGAGAGAUUGGUCUGCAUUCGAGGGGAUCAAG